GGCGGCGGCUGGGAAGCUUGAACAGCGGGCUGGCCAGUGGAUGAGGCGCGGCGCCUGCGGCUCAGAGCGCCUCCCCCCUCGGUUUCCCGAACCCUGCCAGGUCCGACCCGAGGGGGAGGAUGGACACUCCAGCUGCGUUCUGAGCCUGCGCAGAAAAUAACACCCUUGCGGCGGCCACAACACCCCACCGUCCUACCCAGGCCACCCCCUCGUCCCUUCUACUACUCGAUCUCCCGGAGUCGGAGGCGCGGAAAAGCGCGCGAUGGCGGAGAACGUGAAGAAGCUGGCCAAAAGCGACUCUUUUCGAGGGCUGCAGGAUAGAGUCUCCUUCUGGGUGCAGGACUACAACACAAACUCCUGCGACGAAAACCUAAAUUACUGCAUCGGACUCAUUGAACAAGUGGCCAAAGUGCAGGCACAACUCUUCGGGAUCCUCACAUUGACAGCCCAAGAAGGAGGACAUAAUGAGGGUGUGGCAACGAUCAAGAGUCGCCUUUUGCCUUUACUGGAGACAUCUUUCAGCUCUGCAAACGUGGGAAAACUUACGGACAACAAGGCUGCCAUCAUGCAGGACACGUAUUUUAGAGACAAAACGAGAGAAGCUAGUUUUCAGGAUCAGGACCAAGAGCAAUUAGACUUUGACUCCAGCCCCGACAGUCAACAAAACCAGGUUCAAGACGAUCUGGCUGACACUGGAAAGAGUCUUGAAGGAACCAGGAACAGACCAACCAUAUCCCUCAUGGCUGCAGAGGAGGAGAUAAAUCAGCUAAAAAAGCAACUUAAAUCACUUCAAGCCCAGGAAGAUGCUCGUCACAGAAACUCAGAGAGUCGGCGCUCGGAGGCUUCAAGAUCUGAACGUCAAGCUUCAAGCAAACGGGGCUCAGAAGCACGAGGCUCAGAAGGACGGGCCUCAGAAGCACGAGGCUCAGAAGCACGAGGCUCAGAAGGACGGGCCUCAGAAGCACGGGCCUCAGAAGCACGGGGCUCAGAAGCACGGGGCUCAGAAGCACGGGCCUCAGACUUACGGGGUUUAGAAGCACGGGGCCAAGAGGUGAUGUUCGACUAUGAGAAACAUCUCCAAAAUCUGAAGGAUGAGAUAGCUGUGUUGUCUGCUGAAAAAUCCGGUCUCCAGGGAAGGUCAGUGAGGAGCCGGUCUCCUAGCCCUAUCCGCUGUAGCCCUAGCAGAGGCCGCAGUCGCAGCCGCAGCCGCAGCAGGUCCAACAGCCCCUGCACCAUAAUGGCCAAGGUCAGAAGCCCGUCCCCAAACCGGUCCAAAAUGUCCAGCGUGGCUCGCAAAGCGGCUCUCCUGUCCCGAUUCAGCGAUGCCUAUUCCCAGGCCCGUCUGGACGCACAGUGCUUGCUGCGGCGUUGCAUCGACAGGGCGGAGACGGUGCAGCGGAUCAUUUACAUCGCCACAGUGGAGGCGUUUCAUGUAGCUAAAAUGGCGUUCAGGCAUUUCAAGAUCCGGGUGAGGAAGAUGCUCACACCGUCGCACGUGGGGUCAAACGACUUCGAGUGUGCAGUCUUGGACUAUAUCAUUUGCCAUCUCGAUCUCUAUGACGCUCAGAGCAGUGUUAACGAUGUGAUCCGUGCCAUGAACGUCAACCCCAAGAUCUCAUUCCCUCCUGAAGUUGACUUCUGCGUCCUCAGUGACUUCAUCCAGGAGAUAUGCUGUAUUGCCUUUGCAAUGCAGUCCUUGGAUCCACCGCUAGAUAUCGCAUUUGGGGCCGACGGAGAAGUCUUUAAUGAUUGCAAGUACCGCCGCAGCUAUGACUCGGAUUUCACUGCCCCCUUGGUCUUUUAUCACGUGUGGCCUGCUCUCAUGGAGAAUGACUGUGUCAUCAUGAAGGGAGAAGCUGUCACCAAGAGAGGGGCUUUUUGGAGUUCUGUGCGACCUGUAGCUCGCUGCCGCAGCAGGAGUUUAAGCCCCGUCUACCCUCGUAACCGCAUUGGAUUAAGCACGGUACAUUCCUGUCAAAUCGUUGGUGCAGACAACCUACAGUGAUACUUUCCUGUGCAAGGGGUGUUUGCGAAUCCAUAGGUAGAAAGAGAGAUGUCUCGAAGCCGGAGUCCUUCUCCAAUAAGAUGCACAUUGCCAAGAUAUUAAAACCACCAGCCACGUUCGUUUGCCACAGUCCAUUGGAACAGCCAACCUCCUCAGUGCCUCCAGCCACCUGCCUUGUCUGCCUCCGACCUCACCUAACAUGAAAUGAAAAAGCAAUUCUGUGCGUCACGCCGCACAGAGAGUUUAAUGCUUUGGCUCAGCGCCUUUGUCACUCUAGGUCCUUAGCAGGUCCUUUCGUUUCGUAGGAGCGAAUUCCACUAAUUUCAUAAAACAAUUAUAUAGGCAUAUAGGAUCAUUAGAACAAAGUCCAUUACAAAGUUAAGGACUUCCCUCCCUUUCAGAGCCCACGCUAGCAGUGACAGCAGAAGUCACUGUCCAGCUGAAUCCCAAAGGAAGGACGAGCGAUUUCAUUUACAGAGCAGCCAAAAAUCCCCUCGUUGCUAGCAUCAGCUUUUAGCUCCCUGAAACCAGUUUCAGUGUUCUGAUCCCCUCUCAAGGGUUCCAAGAUAUCCAUAGUCUCAGGUUGGGAAAUUCAUCCCCAUAACACUCACUUUAGGGAAAAUGUAGACAAUAAGAAGAUAUUCAUUUUAAAAGAUAGAGCAAUUACCUUGCUUCUCUCUCUGUACUUUGGCCGAAUGGCAAAGCUACUGGGUUUUCUAUUUUCCUUCCUUCCUUUCUUCCUCCCUCCCUCCCUCCCUCCCUCCCUCCCUCCCUCCUUCCUUCCUUCCUUCCUUCCUUCCUUUUCUUUCUCGUUUUGUAUACGGGUGCCAUUUAAUCAGCUCAGAUCUGGAAGCUUUAGCAUCAAGGGUCUGAGAACUAACUCUCCCAUAUUAUCCCCUUUACACGUUUUCUUGCAAGAUAUGUAAUCAAACAACAAACUUAACCAGCUGGCGACUAACAAUCAAUUAACAACCAAGCUUCACCAACCGAUGAAUCAAACUGCAUAUAUACCGGCAACUUAUUACAGAUAGAUUAAUGUUGAGUGAUACGAGAUGCCCCGGAACUGGUCCACGUGAGAGGGCUUCCUAUAGAGCAGACCUGUGUCUAGACAUCAACAUGAGAUCAGUGUUCACCGUCUGCUAUUCGUCUCGUCCCUGGGACUGUCAACGCUUUCAUGCGUGUGUGAAAUAUCAAGCUUACCUCCCGCUUUCUUCUCUAGUUGUAAAUGAAGACCCCCCCUGAAAGCCCUCUGACCAGGGUACGCUCAUUCAGGGCCCCAAGUGAGGGGCUUGAUCUACUGAUUUUUAAGUCGAGUGUAUCUCUUUUGACUGCUUCACUGCUCUGUGUUUGAGAGCAUCUAGUCAAGGUAGGAACGGGCGAUUACUCUCUCCAGGUAAACACGGGUUCCUUACUUUUUUGAUUUCCCUUUUGCACAGGCCACUGGCUUGUCACUCUGAGGUCCAAGUGCAAAGCAGCAUCUGAGGCUUUUUGGUGGGGAUGAACAAAAGCAAACCUCUCUGAGCAUCUUGUGGCUAUGGGUGGGAAUAGAUCCCCCCACCCCUGGUCUUUGUUCCCCGAAUCUUAUGAUCCGCAACUCAUUCUGAGGUGUGAAUUUCUUCCUCUUUGUGGCUUUACUUUUUUGGCCAUGAUCUCGCUGAUGCCAGGACUUGUUCUGAAAGGAACACUAUGUGCCAUGGUGGUGUGUGAUUGCCUCCUGACCAUUAGCUUGCUGUGCAGCCUUGAGCAAGUCCCUUGACCUCUCUGAGCCUCAGUUUCAUUACAGAAGGAGCAGAUUGGAUGGAAAUGAGAGUUCUCUUAAUCCAAAUAGGCUCCUCAAUGCUUUACUCUGGAUAGCCUGGAAUAAAGGUAAAAGUUAGUGCAAUCUGUAUGGCCAUAUGGUUGUAAUAAAGGACAUAAUAUACCGACUAUAAACAGCUUUAAAUAAAAGUUUUCAGUAAACAAUGGGCAAGGGCCAUCCUUAAAGAUAAAAAGUAAAGCUCUAAGUGCCAAGUUUUCCCAGCAUCCAUCUGUGACAUUACUGGCUAUGACGACACCUCAGUACCAGGAGGCAUCUUGGCACUUAGAGGUGACUUUCUGAAGUGGUGGGCCAUUUUUUAUUACAUUUCCGUUAAAAGCCAGGCUUAUUCAACUUAGGCAGUACAAUAGUCACUUGUGUUAUGUGACCAAAGUUCUUUCUUAAAAUCUUACUAAGCAUUGAGAAGACCCCUGUAUCUUAAGGUUUUUUUUUUUGUCUUUCCCCCAAAGCCACAUGUGCCAUCUAACUUGGAAAAAGCAGUCCAGUUGUUUGCUCUCAAUUCUAUUGAGAUACCUGCCAUUUCUCAGGCUUCUAAUCUGAGCUGUAGCCAUGCAGAGAAAGUCAAAAGUCUCUUUGGAAGGCAUCCGCGAACCCAGCGGAGGCUGGCCUGUCCUCGUGGCCUCUGGUGCUCCUGUUUGGCACUCUGGGGCAAUGUGAGUGUCUGUGUUAUCGCUCAGCGUCUCGUGAUAAAACUGCAGUAGCGCGCUGUAUUCUGACAUGCCUUCCCUCCAGAUUCUCAGGCUCCUCCCAUCUCCACUAACCCACAAAAGUGAACCGCGAUCACACAUUCAUCAAGUAAAUACUGGCUGUAGCCUGCCCCGGGUUGACCCCGAGAGAGCCGCUGCCCACGGGGAAGCCAACCUGCUCUGUUUUGUCUUACCACAGCCCCUCUCGCCUGUUCAGGAUGCCCUGGACCCCGCUUAACUGUUUUCAUUUACCUUAUUCCAGUGUUUCCCCACAAUAGCUAGGUGCACCUGUGGCUUCGUAUAGAAGGAACCUUUUGUUCGGUGCACUCUACAGUCUUGUUUCAAUGUCUUUUGCUUUAGAGUAAGACCCCGUCUCCUUUUCUUCUCUUAUUUUGGUACACAGCACUAGUUCUUGGUUUGUUUGAAGGGAAAAAUAUCUCUCUCUCUCUCUCUCUCUCUCUCUCUCUCUCACACACACACACACACACACACACACACACCACGGAUUUGCCCCCACAGUGCCAAGGAUGCAUAUGUAGAGAAAGGGCUGGCUCUACGGAGUUUAAUGUCUCAUCUAGCUGUAUUCCUGGGUGAUUUUCUUGUCAUAAAGAACAGAUGUGAAUACACACGAAAUAAGAAAGCCAGGCUUGUGCCACACAGCUGUAACCUCAGGACUUGGAAGGUCAAUGCAGGAGGAUUGCUGAAAGUUUCAGGCCAGCUUGGGCUAUUUAGUGAAUUCUAGGGCAGCCUAAGCCACCUAGGAUGGCUUUGUCUCAACAAAGAAAAAGAAAAAAAAAAUACACAGAGAGAAAGGCCCAGUAAAUACAGUAAAGAAAUGCUACAGGUCAAUUGAAGGAUUCAAACUAUUAUCAGGCACAUAUCUCUAUACAGGACAAAGCUGUGGGGCAGCUGGGGAGAAUACCCCAGGCAGACAGGUGCUUGCUGUUCAACUGUAAAAAUCUUGAGUUUGGAUUCUAGUACCGUAAGGCUGAGCAUGCUGGCAAGGUAGAGACAGGCCCCUUGCUAGAGCAGACCAGGUGAGCCCAGGUUGGGGGGAGGGGUAGGGAGAAGUUAUCUCAAAAAUAAGGCAGGGGCAAAUUGAGGAAGACACUUGACAACAGUUCCUAGCCUCCACAUACAACAUGGUGCAUACGUGCACCAAUAUCCAUAUGCAUACACAUAGGGAACACAUCACACACACACACA